AAUGCAGAUGAAUGGAUUAUUCGAUUUUCUUUGUUCUAAUUUUCGAGUAGAACGCCAUUUUUACUGUUUUCUCCGCAGCAGGUAGAAAUAAAAAAUAUACAGGCUAAGUUGAAGGGACGCUUCUCAUCUUGCAGUAGCAGCUCAUCUGUAAAAUAUUCAACAAAACUUUACGAGAUGUCUUUAUACUUCAAAGGAGCUGCGAUUAUGACGGAGGCGCUCGGGGAGCUGGAACUGCGUUAAUAUUAAAGACUUCUUAUAACAUUUUGCUUACUUUUGAAAACGAAUUUAUUAUUUUAUUGAUAUUUCUUUGGUAUGCUAUGUUAACUAUGCACAUAAUUUAUGUUAAAUAUUGAAAUAAAGACUGAAUCUUAAUAAUGUAUG